GUUGACCAGGAAAGAACUUUGAAACAAACCAACGAGAUGCUUUCACUGAGAUAACCAGAUAACUAGCAGAGAUAACCAGAUAACUUGCAGAGAUAACCAAAUAACUAGUAAACAUAAAAAGCUAACCAGCAAAGAUAACCAUAUAACUAGCAGAAAUAAACAGAUAACCAGUAGAAAUAGCCAAAUAACUAGUAAACAUAACCAGAUAACUAGCAGAGAACACCAGAUAACUAGCAGAGUUAACCAGCAGAUACAGUAUAUCCAAAUAACUAGUAGAGAUAAAAAGCUAACCAGCAGAGAUAACCAGAUAACUAG